AGAAAGCCCCUGGCCAGCCUGCAGCACUGCUCUCCGUGCAGCCACAUGGCUGAGAUCUGCCUGAGAUCAGCUCAUCUCUGCCUGGGAGAUGAGCAGAUCGUCACCAGAGCUUUCCACGCAGCGGACUUUGUGUGUCCUUGGCUUCACUAAAUGCAGGGUGGUCACGCCCUCUCCCACAUGUGAAAGUGUACAUCGAGGCUUUUGACUGCUGCUCACAGGACAAAGCGUGAGGUCCCCUGAGCUCUGUUUUUAGCUGAGCUCCGCAGAGGUCUGGAAAGCCAAGAGCUGCCCUUCCUUGCUGUGCUGCUCUGAGGAGGCUGAGGUCUGCGACCAGAUCUGCCCUGAGCUGCUUUGUCAGGCACUGGCCCUCACCAGGUCGGUGCCUUUCCCAACAGAUCGGGACGUGCAGUGGAGGUAAUGUUCACAUCCAUCCAUCUGCGAUGACAGAACUGUGCAUAAAAACCACUGAAAAUCCAAAGCAAAACACCUCUGGGGUGCCGAGAUCCACUUGGUGUCAGACGGGGUGUUUCUAGAGCAGCACCAUGACUCCAAGUCUAGAAAAAGAGUGAGUUCAUCACUCCCGGCCUGACACAGAACUGGUUUUGCGUGAUUUGCAGAUUCUUAUCCUCGUCUCCUUAAUCUGCCCUUUUUCCUCUCACCACCCACACAAAGCUUCUUUCUUUCUACCUAAUUCUAACUCCUUCCCGAUGACAGGAGGUUCUGUCUCCGUUCGCCGUGCCAGGCCCCCGUUCCCUGCUGACACCAGUCUGCCCCUGCCCUGUGAGCAGCCCCGUGUGCUGGAGAGCAGCCACAGCCAGCUGUGCCCCAGCGCUCUGCCCAGCCACCAGCACUGCAGGAUGCCCAGGGCAUCGCACAGGGUUCUGCAGGCAGAACAGCUGGAUUUGCUUAGGCAAAGCUUGCACAAAGUUAAUUGAUUAGCAGCCCAGCAGAAAGCCUUCCUUUGUAGGUACUGCGCAAACCUCUUCCUGGAUCGAGAUCCAACUUUCCAGUAAGGAAUUAUUUCUGUGAAACUCCUGAAGCAGCACAGCUUGCUGCUCCUUUGUAUCACUACCCGGAGUGUGUCGGUAUCUCUGCCCGGAUAUGCACAGCUACAGCAUCACAGAAAUUUCAGUGUGAAUAACAUCCACGUACUUUUGUAUUCCUUAACCGAAGACAUGAACGAGAGGCCUUGGUAGAUCGCAUGAAUCAGAAAGAAAAAAGCCCUUACUGUGGAUUCUAUAAAGACAUUUUCCAUGAGAAAAGCUACACUGGAGGAAUAGGAACAGUGUUUUGGCAUGAAAAAAGAUGAAGUUAAAUCGGCCUGCGUUGUGAAACCACAUCUGGAAGGGCUGGCUCCAUCCGCCUGCUUGCGGGCAGUGCGGUGUAAAUGGCAGCCUCCUGGCCUGGGCCUCCGGCUGCCUUCAUACAGACUCUUGGUGCUGUCUGCAAGCCCUGCUCUUCAGAGCUGAUGAACUCGUGAACUUCCAAAGGUGCCAAUUUAAUGCUCUUUUCCACCAUGGUCCGAUGUGGUCCUGUUCGGUCUUUUUAAAUGCCAGCUGGGAGGAAAGCUGUCUGUGUUCCUGAGGUCCUCAUCUUCAGCUCAUUUCCAGUAGGAAGUAAAUAAGGAAGCUUUUAGUGAUUCAAAUCAGAGCUGCAUUCCUACCUCGUGCCUUCUCGGGUGUGCUGCAGACCAGAGCUGUGGUGCACUGAUUUGAGCCAGGUGUCCUGGCAGCAGUCUGACAGAGCAGAGGUGCUGCAGCUGUUAGCGUGACACAAAGCACCACUCCUCUAGCAGGCAGCAGCAGGUCUGUGGGGAUGAGGAGAUGGCUAUAAAGGGUACAGCCUGGGGGUGAGGAGCGAGCUGUUGGUGACCACAUCUAUUUAAAUAGCGAUGGGGAGCCGCUGGCAAAUAUCCACAGCAGCCAUGGAGGAAGGCCCCAGUUGGCUGACGCUGAGAAGUUUGGGCUCUGAAGGAGGUGCAGAGAUGUCUGUGUGGUCCCCGUGCCUGUUCCAGGCUGAGGACUGCUGAGUUUUCUGGCUGUGCAAUUCGCCCUGCUCUGAAAGCUCCAUGGUAGAUAUUUUACCACGUCUCUUUGGAACCUGAUUCAUUAGUUUAUCAUUUUAAUUAAAACGAUACUCCUUCAUUUCUUUGAACUGCACUGACUUCGCUGGAGUUGUGCCAUUAUCUAACUGAAUAGGAGCACCUGAUGCUGGCUGUAACCACUGCUGAGCACGGCCCCUAAGGAGAACCAGAGGAGGGCCAGGCUGCUUCCAGCACUUGCGGGCAUUCGUGCAGUCCCACAGUGUGCUGCUGGUGGUAGAAACAGGAGAGAAAAAUGGAGCACAGAGAUAACGAACUCCCCUACACUAUAACUGGUGGUGCCUGGCUGGUAUCCAUCCACAUCAGUCGGGAAAUUUGCUGGAUAUUACCAGGGGUGAGAUGUAUUAUGUGCUGCGCAGAGGCUGAACAAUGAAGUUAACCUACAAGUGAGGAAAGAGCGCGCGCCAAGAGAUGUUAUCUUCCCUCAAUGAGCUGGAUCCUGAAGGGCUCCUGACUUGAUGAAAGGCAGGAAACCCAAGCUCCUAUUUUAUGAGCCAAGGGCUCCGACCACGGUGAAGCAACGCCUGUGUCAUUGGCUUGGUGAAUGGCACUGAGUGUGUGAGGACCCUGGCAGGGAGCGGUGCUGCCAGGAGCAUCCCUGCUCACCUGAGAGCUGCUGCCCCAAGGUGACCCAGCACUGCCGGCACUGCUUGUGCCACACGUGGAAAUAGGAAUCUCAGCAGCCAGCCCUUAAGGCCCCGCAGCGUUCACUCCUCCCCAGGCUCACCCUCCCUCCAUCAGCACUGCUUUUCACCGCUGCCCUUGGAGUUGGUUCGGUUCCUUCCUGCUUUGUAACGCAUUUUAGCAGCAGUGUCUCCAGUUUGCUGAUCUCCCUUUGAUGCCGUCUCAGCCGCUUCUCUGAAGUCCAAAGAGAUGAGCUCUAAGGGGCUCCCUUUGACUUUCAAAGGAAGAAAGAAUAAAGCCUGACAACAUUUCUCUUUGCAAAGUC
ensembl:lncRNA